CCAGCUUUAAACCGGGACAAAAGGGGGCGCAUCCAAAGCCAAUUCCCAGCUAGUGUUAAGAUGCACUUCCUAUAGUUCAACUUAAUCGAUUCAAUUUGCAUGGACUGCCAACACAUGCAUGCAAGCCUAAUCCCUUAGUUUCUUCACUCGGUAAGCAUCUUGCUCUAUGUAUACCAGACAGAAUAGCUCCGUGAAGGGUUCCGCCAUUUCGUUACCUGCAUCCACAUGAUGUUCCUCUGUACUAUUGUUGGAUCAAUAAUUCAAUCCUGUGAUUAUCAUUUGGAAUGCCACCACAUUAUCCGCUUGCGAUCAAUAACCCCAC
rnacentral:lncRNA from 1 species